rnacentral:rRNA from 1 species
AUUGAACGCUGGCGGCAUGCUUUACACAUGCAAGUCGACCGGCAGCGCGGGCUUCGGCCUGGCGGCGAGUGGCGAACGGGUGAGUAAUGCAUCGGAACGUGCCCAGUAGUGGGGGAUAGCCCGGCGAAAGCCGGAUUAAUACCGCAUACGACCUGAGGGUGAAAGCGGGGGACCGAAAGGCCUCGCGCUAUUGGAGCGGCCGAUGUCGGAUUAGCUAGUUGGUGGGGUAAAGGCUUACCAAGGCGACGAUCCGUAGCUGGUCUGAGAGGACGACCAGCCACACUGGGACUGAGACACGGCCCAGACUCCUACGGGAGGCAGCAGUGGGGAAUUUUGGACAAUGGGGGCAACCCUGAUCCAGCCAUGCCGCGUGCGGGAAGAAGGCCUUCGGGUUGUAAACCGCUUUGGUUCGGGAAGAAAUCCUCUGGGCUAAUACCCCGGGGGGAUGACGGUACCGGAAGAAUAAGCACCGGCUAACUACGUG